CUAAUUUCAUAUUCUUCAAUACUAUAACUAUAGGUAUAUACAUAGAGAUAGAGAUAUAUAAAAGAAAAGCAUGACAAAAAGACCAAAGUCUACUGGUGCCCCUGGUGGCGCAGAGCCCCUGGUGGCGCAGUGGUAAAACUGCCGCCAUGUAACCAGAAGGUUACAAGUUUGAUCCUGACCAGGGGCUCAAGGUUGACUCAGCCUUCCAUCCCUCCAAGGUCGGUAAAAUGAGUACCCAGAAUGUUGGGGGCAAUAUGCUAAAAUCAUUGUAAACCGCUUAGAGAGCUUCGGCUAUAGAGCAGUAUAUAAAUGUAAGUGCUAUUGCUAUUGCUACUGAAUUCAAUUUUAAAUGGAAGAUGUUCAGAGAUGGAAAUAUAUGGUGACACUCAGCAUUCAACAUCUGUUAAACAAACUAAUGGAAAUAAUGCUAUUAUUUAUGCUGUAUCAACAACAUAUGUGGCACUUUACAGUUGCUCCAUAGAAGUUCAUUUGCCUGGACCCAGCGGUGAGUUUUUGUUAUUUUCAUUUUCCCCACAUUUAGAUCCCUCAAACUGGUUCAAAUUUGAGCCAAGCUGGGUAUGUAUGUGUUCAGGGGUGUGCAAAACCAAACAUGCCUGGUUCAAGACCAGUCUGGGCUCAAAUCGAACCAAGCCAACCUGUUUUGUACACACUCCUAGUGUCUUCUAUUGUGCUGCAAAACUGUGGAUGCUACUCUCUGUUUUCUUCAGUUUUCAUCUAUCUAUCUAUCUAUCUAUCUAUCUAUCUAUCUAUCUAUCUAUCUAUCUAUCUAUCUGCCUUUUACCCUUCCUGAGGAUCUUGCAAUCCCAUCUUUCUGAAAUCUCUUAAACUACCAGUACCACUUCAAAAACUGAAAUGCACCCCAGCUUUCCACAAUAUUUUGCAUUUUUGAAUGUCAGAUCUUAAUAAUUUUAGAUCAUUUUUAAACAAGCAGAAACUUUAUAUUAUCUUUGUCCAAAUUUUUAUACAACAUAUGCAGCAAGAUCACUUCUAUCAUUCAUUUGCCAUCUCACCCUUUAGUAAUAAUUAUCUCUUAUUUCCUCCCCCACCCUUUUUUUCCCUUAUAAAGGGCUUUCUUUCUAGUCUAGUCAUGAAAGCUUAGUUUCAUAGAAAACAAAUGUUAGGAUUUUUGUUCAGCUUAUUUUUUCCCCUUUUACUGUUGAAUUCUUUAGGGAUUUGAAGAUAUGGGAUUACUGGAAUACAAAAGGAUCAAAGACCGGGUGGCAAAUACUAAAGAAAAUAAUAAGAGCUGCCACAUUAGCUUCUUAAUCAAAGUGUGGUUUUUGAAAGACCUCAUGCAUUCUAUUAUGAAAUAAAUAUACUUUAAUUUUGGAACUGAAAGAAAAUUUAAAUCUUCCCCCUCUCAAAUAUGAACAGUGUGCUCAUCUGUACUUCAGCAGUGAUCCCAGUUAUGAAACUGGAACAUUUGAACACAGUAUUUUUGGGGGGCAAAUGAUUAUUGAAAGCAAAAGAUAGUACUAACUGACCUAAGUCCUCUCUGUAGAUCUACUUUACCCUAACCAGGGGACUAUUCAAGUGUGUAAAUGGGAACAGAACUCCUACAGUCCAAUUUGUUAGGAUAAAUUUACACCAUCAAGGAAGCAGAAACGAACACAGGGAAGCCAAUAAAGGGUAAUUGAUAGAAAUGUCAUAGCUCUUCCUAUCUACCCAUCAAAAUCGAGGGCUUAAAGUAUGCCCUUGGGGCAAACAAGAAAGCACACAUGUAGCCCAAAUAUGCAGAUAAACAAACAAACAAACAAACAAACAAAUAAAUAAAUAAAUAAAUAAAUGGAAAUUUUUGAUAUUUAAUUAUCAAAAUUUGGGACCUGAGGUUUACCCUAUAAUUAGUUGUAACCUAAACUUUUCUUCCUUCUGCAAUCUUCCUUGGGAAGAGGGACUCCUUCCUCCAGAGAAAGGAAGGCUUAAGAUAUAACCUAUUAAAAAUGAAUGUUCCAGUAUAAAGCAAAUGUUAGACUAUAUGGUGGAAUGUUGGACUAUGGGAAUUCUCCUUCAUACAUUUGAAUGAUUCUUGGUUUAAGAGAAAAUGGAUUUCAAUGGCAGGCAGAAAAGUGGCCGCUCUCCAGCCUCAUGGUGGGGGUGGCAUUCUUCCACACCUUCUAUUUAAUAAUACCCCUGCAAAUUGCAGAGAGACAUACCCCUGCUAACUGAGCAGACACACCUUUUUAAAGUGGUGAUGCUCUUAUAUUUAGCAGGGGGAGAGCAACUGGCCCUAUCCAACCCCAGAACAACAUCCUUCCAGUGCCCUUUGUUUCUUUUUAAACUGUGAGCCCUUUGGGGACAGGGGGCCAUCUUGUAUAUGUAUUAUUAUUUUUCCAUGUAAACUGCUUUGAGAACUUUCAUUGAAGAGCGGUACAUAAAUUUCAGUAGUAGUAGUAGUCAUAUCAUAUCAUAUCAUUAUCAUAUCAUUUAUCAUUUAUCAUUUAUCAUAUCAUAUAUUUGUUAGCUACCCCAUAACAAAUUGUUCUCUGGGCAGCUCACAACAUGUUGAAGCCUCAUGUUGAAGGAAGGCAUGAGGCUUUCCUGAUUGGCUGAGUCACAGGGGUUGCAAUUUGGACAGCCAUUUUGGUGUCCCAUCCCUAUGGUGGUUCAGUCUUUAGUCAGGCAGGCUUUUUCUCCCUCCUUCCCAGGCACAGAAUGGGCUUUACUAGUCAUCCUUUUGGGGGCUGAUUUGGAAUUUUUUGGUUCCCAGCAGAUUGGUCGAGUCUGGGGGAUGUUGGUUUUUUUUUACCUCCACCAUUUUGUUCACCCCUUUUAGCGAGAGAGUUAAUUAGGUCAUAACUGGGCUUGAACAGAGUGGUCUAUGAGUAGGGAGGUUUGAUUGAUAGCACACUUGGGCUGCUUUAGAAAGUGAAGAGUCAUCAAUGAGUCCUUAGAGACUGUGCAACUCAGAGGCUACCUACUAAGGAUUUGCAAAAAGACUCAACCUCAAGCCACUUUGGCAUCUAAUUGCGCCGGCUUGGGGCCGGUUUUGGGGGUUCUACAGUUAAUUCAUUUGUUUUACUUAUGGCAGCCUUGGAGAUGCUCCCCCUUCCAUGGGGAGAGGUCUCCAGCAGUCCCUACUCCCUCUGCCAGCCUCCCGUAAGUGCCGUUUUGGCCCAUUUUUGGACUGUUCUGGUCUUUUCUGAGGUGUCGGAGGCCAUUUUGGAGGCUGCUGUGCAUGUGCCCUGGCCAUUUGCAUGGCUUGGUCAUUUGACUUGGGGCCAGUUAGGGGGUUCUAGCAUUCUUUUUUAAAACAAUUAUUCAUUCACUGGAGGGUCUGGUGGUCUCGGAAGGUGCAGGUGCAACUGCAGUGGGGAGUCUCUGCAGUCUCCCUCUCCCACUGCCAGCCUCCCCCAUUCCUCUAAGACUGUUUCAGAAUGGGCAGGGUGCAUGCACAGUGGCUUCCAGAAUGGCUGCUUCCACCGGGGAAAUGGCUGGAAUGGCCUGAAAAUGCCAUUCAGGGAGAAUCAGGGGAGGCUGGUGGUGGGAGAGGGAGACUGAAGAGACAUCCCUACAGUCAUGCCAGCUUCCCCUGAGGCCGUUGGACCCACCGGUGCUUGAAAAGAAAAUAAAUAAUGUUAGAACCCCUGAACCAGCUCGAAUUUGAUCCAAGCUUGGGGGGUUUGUUUGGUGGCACAAAACCAAACAUGCCUGGUUCAGACUCGAACCAAAAUGGGCAAACUGGUUUUGUGCACACCCAUAUUUGGCAGCCUUAAACUGGGCCUGAACCGGCUCGAAUUCGGGUCAGGCCCCUCGUUCAGGGUGCCAAAACCGAACAUGCCUGAUUUGAAGUUCAGUUUGGACUUGAACCAAACCACUGAAUCUGGUUUUGUGCACAUCCCAAUUAAAUAAUUCAGGGGCUUCACCAGCACAUGCACGCACACACACACACACACACUUGCAGAAUGCAGUUCUGUUAUCAAGUUAAAUUUGACCCAUUAUUUCAAUCAGGUAUGAUUAGGCAUACAUGUACAUUAUCAUCAAAGUCACAGCAUAUACAACCGUGGAGAGCAGUUGCCCACUACAUGUGGACCCUACAUAGCAUAAUAAACAUGCCAGUCUCCUAAGUAACAUAGUUUGAAAUAUUUUCACUUAAUAUUUCUGCUAAAGCUAUUGUCAGGACUAACACCUCAUAAUCAUGGUUUCCAGUACAGCUUUCAAAUGACAGCAGACAAGUCAUUCUACUACCUUAACCUUUGAAAUAUAUGUAUUGCUUUUAGCAGGUAAGCAUUCUAUUCAUCUCUCCCCACCCCGAAAAAAUAUGAAGCUUGCAAGCAGGCGAAAUAAAGCAAUGACUAGUAACCAAAAAUUUCAGAUGUCUUUAAAGGUCAGGCUGGAAAAUGUUCUGCUAAAAGGCAACAACUGACAUAUAGAAAUAACAUUAUUAUUAGUAUUUAUGAUAUUUAUAUCCAACCUUUCAGCCAGGGUUGGUGCUCAAAAUGGCUUACAAUUAAAACCUAUCAGAUGAUACAAUACAUGAAAAUGGGUGCGUGUAUGUAUAAUGAGGAGAGGAGGAGAGAUGAUAUUUCCAUCUCACUAUUCCAACUUAUGUUUUACUUUUUGAAUUUUGUAUUUCUCUUGCCAUUGCCUGCAUGGCCAACUUAUUCCUUUUGUGCAUUAUUUGAUUCAACUAAUUUUCAAGUAGAAGAAGAAGAAGAAGAAGAAGAAGAAGAAGAAGAAGAAGAAGAAGAAGAAGAAGAAGAAGAAGAAGAAGAAGAAGCAGCAGCAGCAGCCACAAUCAAUAUUUUGAGAUGUACAGAGAGAGAAGAUUGACAAAUCAGUUACCAAGCAAAAAAACUAACAAAAAACUGACCUGUCUUGGCAUUGUUCAUUGGACAAAUAUCUACCAUCUGUGUGUCUACAUAUUUAAGGACCUUUCUUCCUAUUUGUCCCUCUUGGAGUCCUGCACCGAGUUGUCCUCAACACGUCUGAUCCCACAGUCCAUGCAGUGCCUUUGAUAACUGCUUGCUGUCCUCUUAGUAAUCUACACAUCAGAUGGAAGGGACAGGCACACAUCCCCAUAAAAUAUUUUGGGUGGGUAUUGUUUCCAGUAUAUCUGGUCUUGCAUGCAGGCACAGAGGCUAUUUAUACAUGCAUACAAAACUGGGCGAAAGGAGCCCAGCCCAGUUUUACACACGCACAUGCCCAAUCCCAGUGUCACCACGGUAGCAAACCUGCCCGCAAAGCCUCCUCUCAAAAGGGGGUUAAGAGAGCAGACUGCUCAUGUGUCAGCCAUGACUGGCAGACUCAGAGAGGGGAGGGAGGGUUCCCCCUGAUGCACCACACACUCAUGCAGUAUAUUAUUUGGGCUCCAGGGGUGGGGCGACGUAGGGCUAUGCAACCCUGCACAUCGAUCCUUGGAGUUACCGGCAGCAGUCAGUUCUCAUCUGGGCUAGGGGUAUGCAAACAGGUUCGAGGUUGAACAGGUUUGACCUUGAACCUGUUUGGUUUGAUGGUCCAGCGCCAGACCAAACACCCUUGGCCAUUCGGGCUUGUUCACAAAUAUGUAUUUUUUUAGUUAUUUAACCCCUCUGGGGGUUGCUAGUAUGGCCGUGGGGGGCCUCCAGAGGUGCCUCCUCCCCCUGGUAGCCUCCAAAAUUGCCCCCAUUCUGGGCCUCAGCCCAUUGUGACAUUAGGUAUGUGCAACGGCCACCAAAAUGGCCACCACAAUGGGGGUGAGACCCAGAAUGGGCCGAAGAGCACCUGGAAUGGGCCAAAGAGUGCCCGAACCAGGUCAGGGGGCAAUUUUGGAGGCUGGCGGUGGGGAGGCACCUCCAGAGACUCCCUGAAGCCACACUAGCGACCCCCAGAGCAAGUGAAUAACUAAAAAAAAAAAUUGAAAACCAAAUUUAUCCAUGAACCCCCUGAACCAAACCGAGGGAGGGCUCGAGGCGGUGCCUGACCGAACUUGCCCGGUCUGGGUCCAGUUCAGACUUGAAGUGAACCGGGCCAGCCAGUUUUGUGCACACCCCUAAUCUGGGCAGGCAAUCUGCCUGCCCAAAGGAAGCAAAUAGAUUGUCUGCAGGGAGGUAAGCUCUUCAGGGCUUCUUCCCCGCAAAUCCUGCAGCCUCUUCUCACUGCUCAUGAGAAAACGCUCACAGAAUAUUUGGCACAGUUUGGAAACAGCUCUUGAGAAGAAAUGGCUCAGUCCAGGAGAGGCAGCAAACUUUUGUUUUCUUUCCUAAAGAAGAAAGCAAGCAAAUGAAUAAAUAAAUCAACAAGAAAACAAGGAGGAAAGAACAAGGUAAGUUUGUUACGGCUAGUCAUUUCUAGGGUUUGAUUUCUGGCUUGGUAGGGGUUUGUUUUUGACAGAGCAGUUUCAGCUUCAGUUGUGCCUAGAAAGAGAGUUGGUGAUGAUUAGCUGCAGGUGAGUCACACAGCUUGUGGGAGGGACCACAUUCCUGAGGUGGCUCAGGUUGGAAGUAGCUCUUGAGAAGACAAGGCUCAGAGCAGGGAGACUUUGCUACCCAGAGCUUUGCACUUAAGAGUUAGCUAAUAGCUAUUGAAGGGGUUUUCCAUGGAGUUUAGUGGGGAAGUGUGCAGUGAGGUGCACAAGUAGUUCCACUUUAUCACAAAGGAAACACCAAGCAUGAGGAGAGGGUGAAUACUAGAGAGCUUGAAUAUUUUAAUUAGCUGACAACUGCAGCUAAGACCUAGCUUUCAAGUAAACCCACUAUAUAUAUAUUCUAUAUUCUAAAUAGCCAAUACAACCAGUUAUGAAGAUAAAAUCCUAGCAGUGGAGGGGGUACUGAGUCGGGUGGGAGAGCUGUUGGGGCGCAGUGUGGCGCCGCCCGGCUCCCCUCAGACCAUCGGGGGAGCCUGUCGCUCUCUUGCCUGUGUCUCCAGCGGGAAUAGGAAGUGUGUGGCUCCCAAUUUGGUAGGGUGGAGGAGGCUGGAGCAGGGGAGGUUCCUCCUGCUAUUGCUGCUGCUGCAGCUUGGUGGAAAUAAGCAGGGAUCUCUUGCAAAGCCGAGCUGGAGCUGCUGGUAUGAGAGCGAGGCGGUGAAAUGGGUCAGAGAUGAAAAGGGACUCUCGGAUCGCUGCCUCCUGUCCUCCCACCCCUCCCUCGGCCUUUCAGAAAAAAGGGUGGGCUUAGCUUUUGGGGAGGAAAAGGUUAGGGAGGGACAAAGCUGCAGCAUGCGGGGGGGAUGGGACGUGAAGCUCGCGCACGAUGUGCGCGUGCGCAAAAGGCUUGCCAGAGCCUUUUGCAUUGCAGAGGAACAAGGGGCAGCAGGGAGCUAUCCUGCUGCCCCAAUUCUUACAAGAAAUACGAGCGCUGGAAGGGGACAAGUGGCGGGAGGGGUAAGUAAACCCUCCCCGCCCUUAAAGGAACCCACCCCACAGUGCCAGACCGCACCUUUGCGGUUCCGUGCACACCCCUACCAGGAGGAUGCCAGCAUGGCUAACAAGUGAAGGAAGCUAUAAAGGGGGGAAAGAUUUCCUUCAGAAAUUGGAAGGCAUGACCCAAUGAAGAGAACAGAAAAGAACACAACUCUUGCAGAAUUAGUGGCUCAGGGCAAGGAGACAAUAAGAGAGGCUAAAAGAGAGUUUGAGCAACAUUUAGCUAAAAACAUCAAGGGGAAUAUAAAAAAAUACAUCAUUUAAAUACAUCAGCAGGAGGAAACCUGCCAGGCAGAGGGUUGUACCAUUAAAUGAUGAGGGAAUUAAAGGGUUUGCUAAGUAGGAUAUAGAGAUUGCAGAGAAGCUAAAUGAUUUCUUUGCAUCUGUCUUCACAGCAGAGGAUACUGAGCAUAUACCUGUGUCUAGGGAUGUAUGAACUGGCUCAAGGUUGAACCGGGCUGAGUCCCAUUCGUCUGAACCUUAAGCUGAAUUCCUCCCACCCCGGCUGGCUCAGGGCUAGUUCAGUGUUCUAAACGUGUGAUUUUUUUUAAGCUUAUGGGUGGGUCUGGUGUCCUUUGCGGAGUGCUGCCGUGGCAAAUUUCUGGAUGUUUCCCUUCCCCCACUGGCCUCUCCCUGGUCUUAUAUGGGCUGUUUUGGUCCAUUUCCAGGCCAUUUCAGCCCUUUCCAUGAUUGCAGCAGCCAUUUUGGUGGUCACCGCACAUGUGCCCUGACCAUUUGUGUGACUUUAAAAGCUUGUAUAUGCUUAAAAAACAUUGUUUUGGAACAUUUAUAACCCUGAACUGGCUCGAACUUGAGCUGAGUCAGGGUUCUAGUUCACAGGCACAAAACCGAACAUGUCUGGUCUGGUUUUAGUCCAGUCCAGACUUGAAUCUAAAAGUUCAAACCAGUUUCCCCUAGCCUGAACCAAGCUUCUAAAGGACAUAGGCCAAAGAAGAGAGUCAGAUAGAGGUGAUGAAAGAUGAUGAUCUAAACUGUAUGAAAAUAUUAAAAAUUAAAUCGCCAGGACCAGAUGGCAUCCACCCAAGAGUCUUAAAAGAAAUCAAAUGUGAAAUUGCUGUCCUCCUGACAAAUAUAUAUAACUUAUCCCUACAAUCAGGCAGAGGACCAGAGGACCUCUGAAAAGUAACCAAUGUAACACCAAAUUUCAAAAAGGGAUCCAGGAAGGAUCUGGGAAAUUACAGGCCAGUGAACUUAAUGUCUGUUCUGGGCAAAUAGAUGGAAAGCAUUUUCAAGGCAUAUAAUUGUUAAGCAUAUAGAAAAAUAGGCCUUGCUGAAGGAGAAUCAGCAUGGCUUCUGCAAAGGUAACUCUUGCUUCACCAAAUCGUUGCGAGUUCUUUGAGAGUGUCAUCAGGCAUGUGAAUAAAGGUAAUACAGUUGACAUAGUAUAUUUGGAAUUCCAAAAAGCUUUCAGAAAAGAUCCUCAUCAAAGACUCUUGAGAAAACUUAGCAGUCAUGGAAUAAAUGGACAGAUUCAUGUAUGGACUGGUAACUGGCGGAAGGACAGGAAACAGAGGUUAGGUAUAAAUUGACAGUUUUCACAAUGGAAGUAAGUAAGAAGUGGGGUCCCCAGGGAUCUGUACUGGGACCAGUGCUUUUUGAAUUUAUUCAAAAAUGAUGUAAAAGUUGGGAUAAGUAAAGAGGUGGUCAAAUUUGCUUGACACCAAACUAUUUAGGGUAGUGAAAUCUAAAACAGGUUGUGAGGAACUCCAAAAAGAUCUCUCCAAACUGGGUGAGUGAGCGACACAAUGGCAAAUGUGGUUCAAUGUAAGGAAGUAAGUGAUGCAUAUUUGGGCAACCCCCCCUCCCAACUUCACAUAUAUACUGAUGGGAUCUGAGCUGUCAGUGACUGACUAGGAAAGGGAUCUUGGGGUUAUGGUGGACAGCUCAUUGAAAGUGUUGACUCAGUGCAUGGCAGCUAUGGGGGGAAAGCAAAUUCCAUACCAGAGAUCAUUAGGAAGUGGACUGAAAAUAAGAAUGCUAAUAUUAUAAGGCCUUUAUACAAAUCUAUGGUGCGGCCACAUUUGGAGUACUAAUACAUACAGUUUUUGGUCACUGUUAGUGGUGUUCAUGGACUAUUUGGUGUGGUUCAGUCUGAAUGUGGUUCAAAUUUGGACUGAACCAUGCCAAAGAUUUGGUUAGGUUGAACUGAUCGGCUGGGCCUCAAAACAAUUCAUGAUUGAAGCUCUAGAACAGGCCUGGUUCAUGGCGGUCCAGUUCUCUUGUGAACUGGUUCUGCACAUCCCUAGUCACUGUAUCUUAAGAAGGCCACUGUAGAACUGGAAAAGAUGCAGAAGAGGGCAACCAAGAUGAGCAGGAUCCUGGAGCACCUUCCUUAUGAGGAAAGGCUACAGCAUCUGGGCCUUUUUAGUUUGGAAAUCAGGCUAAUAUGGGGAGUCAUGAUAGAGUUGUAUAAAAUUAUGCAUGGAGUAGAGAGAGUGGAUAGAGAAGAAUUUUUCUCCCUCUCUCAUCACUAAAAUCAGGGGUCAUCCCAUGAAACUGAAGGCCUGGAAAUUUACGACCAACAAAAGGAAGUAUUUUUUCCACACAGCACAAUCCAUGGAAUUAUCUGCCAUGAGAUGUGGUGAUGGCCACUAGUUAGUUUGGAUGGCUUUAAAAGGGGCUUAGAUGGCUUGGAUGGCUUUAAAAGGUUCGUGGAAGACAGGUCCAUCAAUGGCUACUAGUUGGUGGAUAUAGGCCACCUCCAGCCUCAGAAGCAAGAUUCCUCUAAAUACCAGUUGCUGGGGAGCAACAUCAAGAGAGAAGACAUGCUCUCACCUCUUGCCUGUGGGCUUCCCAGAGGCAUCUGUUGGGUCACUGUGUGAAACAGAAUACUGGACUAUAUGGGCCUGAUCCAACAGGGCUGUUCUUAUGUUCUUAUCUAAUUAGUAGCUGUCAGGCUUAGCUUCUGUGCAGUUGAGUGCAGGACAGGACAGGACAAGACAGGGAAUGUAGUCUGUAAAAAUUACAUCAGAAGAUCAGGGAGUGCUUUAUUCUUCCUCUAGUGUGUGGGUCGAUAGAUCAGUCCGAUGUCCAUCUUGUUAAAUUUUUAUUGUCGGACAGGGAUUCUUCUGUUUCAAACUAUGUUGCAAGGUUCUGUUAUAUCAUUUCUAGAUUGUACAAAGGGGAGUCACUUUAUGUUUAAUUUUACUAUUUUACUCUUGUAUUUUAUUUUAUUUUGUACUUUGUUCUUGUUGUACUUUGUCCUUGUAUUUUUGGUCUAUGACAGUAAAUAAAUUAUAUAAUCUAGUCUGUAAUCUGCAAAUAGCAAGAGCAGAUUUCCGUCUUUAGUCUAGAGAUGGGGAAGUUCACUACCACUCAUGGUGGAUUGGUUUGAGAUGAGGAAAGAUAUUUUCCCCUCAAAAUUGGAAAAUAGCUCAUUUCUGGGCUAGUGCAAAUUGGCUUCUAAGUGCUUUUAUCCCACUUUACUGGCUAGCCCCUUCCAACCCUCCAAUACCAGUCCCUAAAUUCCCUUGUCCUUUCCUUUUAAACCUCAUUUACCUGACUGGAGUGACUGGUUGAGGCAAGUUCCUAUGGGGAUAUGGAAAAGAAGUUAGAUGAAGAGGUUGUACCCUUGAAGACAACUGAUGUGGAGGGAACACUUGGUCUUGCAGUCACAGAGGAGUGAGGACCCUUGGGGUAUUGAAGCUGGCAGAAUACCUGGCCUUGCUGUUACUCCCACUACUACCAGAUAGUAUCAACUGGGGUCAGAGACCUUGAAAAUACAGUUUUCAGAACAAUCUCUGCUAAGAAUGUAACACCACUGUGGGUUCCAAAGUGACCUGAAAGCAAACAUCAGAUUCACAUUCAGUUAUGAGAUAAUUUAUAUAAGACUUUGAAAGAGAGGAAGAGUCAACAGAGAGAGAAUUCUGUAUUUCUUUGGAAGGGGUGGGUGGGGGGAAUUAGCAGAUACUUGACACAGUGAAAGGAUCAAGAGAAAUUUCAGUUUUAAAAGUGGUUGCAGAAAACUGGCCAAGUUUAUUGUACGAUAUUACUGGUGGUUCAGGAAAACUGUACAAUAUAUUGUGCUUCUAUAUUAUGUAUUGGAUCUUAGGCUGUUCUAUCCUCCAGGACACAUAGGGAAUUCCUGCCCUUACCUGUAACCAUUGAGAGAUGAUGGUGAUGGACACCGCUGUCAUCACUAUGCAUAUGUGGAGUUUCUGGCUGGAUAUUUGCCCCAUAUGCUUGCAUUUUGCUGUCUGAGCUACCCCUCCUUCUGCCACUACCACUGCUUUCCAACUAUUAUAGGUAAGGCCAGGAAUGUCUCCCCUUGUUCAUUUUCCCCACAGUGAGGCUGGCAGUUCCUAUUAUCAAGCCUUAUCACCAGGACUACCUCUGGAGAGGAGCACCAGGCAUCACAUCUGGUAAACUAACUGGAAAAGGAAGCUUAUCUGAAAAGGACAUUUCUGCUAUGAGGCUCAUGUCUGUACACCUAGAAAGUUCAGGUUGUGGGCAGCAUCCAGACUAAGGCCAUAUUUGCAUGGAACAUGGAACUGCAGGUCCAAUGAACCUGCAGUUCCACUCCCAACCCACACCACUCUCCUGUCAGCAGUCAAGGGAACUGUAGAGAGAAGGGGGAAUUGGCUGUGUGGGCAUCCUUCUUGCUUGAAGCACAUGGCCAAUCAUGGCCAAAGAGAGGGAGGAGCUUCCUCCCUCAACUCUAGUUAGACCAAAUUCAGCCUCCAAUACUGCAUUCGGACAUUUUUCUCCCAGACUCAAACCCUGGUUAUGAGCAGUGAAACCCACUACAAACUGAGACUUCAAAUUGGAGUCUGAGGAGCAAAAUCGUGGGUCACUUUACAGACAGAACCAGAGUUGCAUGCAUUCAAAUGUAAUUUCUUGGCAACCUCUGGCCCCAGCAACUCUGGUUCUGCAUUAUGUGCAAAUGUGGCCACUGUUACUCAUGACUAAGUCCCAUUGAAAUGAAUGGGUCGUAAGUCAGUCAUGACUAAUUUGUCUCGUUAAUUUCAAUGAUGCUUAGUCAUGACUAACUAAACUGGACACUGCCCUGUAUUUGAAGUCACAUGAAUGGAUCACUAAUUUGACUAUAUUUUGUCAAAGAAGCACUAUGCAGAUAAACCUGCAUAAAUGUAAUAGUCUGACAAGUAGCGUUGGAAUGACCUUCUGCAGUCCUGACAGGCAGUAGCACUGGAGGAAGAGAUGAAACUGUGGGUGUUCAGAUGGCUGAAGCAAAGACCAAGAGGAUAUUGCCUUGAAGGUUACUGCGUUCCUGGGACUAGAGACAAAGACUGGAUCAGAUGCUAUGUUCAGCGGAUAAGGUUCAUAUGUUCAUAAGGCUGUGUAGGUGGCUGGAAAUGAUGCAAGAGAUCUGGCAAUGGGUCUGCAAAUUUUUUAAAAAAUGUUUUCUCCCCAGGGAGGUUGUAAAGAGGCUGGGAAGCCUUGAUUAAAGAGGACAAGCUUUAAUUCCAAGAGGAAAGAUGAUCCAAUCGUCUACUUUGGCACUGCGCUUCUUGUAUUUUUUUUUACAUGAUCCUAAAAUAUGGUAUUGCUAUGACUAUUUGCAUGAACCUAUUUUGCAGGAUAUGAUAGCCAACAUGACAGGCAGCCCCCUUUUGAUAGAAGGGACCUGCCAGGGUGUUGAUGGUGUAGUGAUGAGGUUGUAGUGGAAUGACUUUAAACUGCUUCUGGGCAGCAGCCCCACACUCCUUUCCACUGGAAACGAGUGGCAUUGCAGCUUCAAAGUGCUUCAAAGUAGGGUUGUGUGUUUUGUUUUGUUUUUCUGUUUUGUUUUUGGCCUGAAUGCAAAACACCCCCAUUUUGUUCUUUGUUCAAAAUUAGCCGAUCCAAAACACCCCAAUUUGGUUCUUUGUUUGAAAUUUCAAAAUCCCAAUCUGAAACAUUUUGGAUUAAAAAAAAUGGCCCUGGGGCAAAACUAGUGGAUGGGGGUGGUAGUGCCCCAUGUGUGGAAGCUGCCACCCAAAUUUCAGAGGAAUUGGGCAAAGGGUUGAUUUUGGGUGAUUUUUUUAUUUUCCCAUAGGAAAAAUGGAGGUUUCAGCAAAAGUACAGCUUCAUGUCGGGAGUGAAAGGAGGUGGCCCAGAGCAGAGCAGAGUGGGUGGUAGUUCCCAGUGAGGGCAAGGAAGCUGUCAGAAUUGUUUCAAAGGAACUGGA